GAUAGAAUGUCCAAACGGCUGCGGUCGAUCAUAUAAGUACAAUACAGAUCUAAACCGUCAUUUGCAAUACGAGUGUGGAAUAUCGCCCAAGUAUGCGUGUCCGCACUGCCCCAAGAGGAGCGCGUUGAAGUCCAACUUAAAAAGACACAUAAUAUUAGUUCACAGCCUCCUGACCAGUCCAGUGUUCAUCAAAUAACAGUAUGAUAACGUGCCCAAACAUAUGCGGCCGAUCAUAUAAGUACAAUAAAGGAGUAAAUCAGCACUUGCAUUAUGAGUGUGGGAAACCACCCAGAUACGCUUGUUCAAUCUGCCCCAAGAGGAGCGCGUUAAAGUCUAACCUAAAGAAGCAUAUACAGUUGGUUCACAAAUUUAAGAUUAGUCCUGUUUUUAUCGUUGAACCUAACCUAAUCGAUCCGUAAACCUAUUGCUCUUGCUAUUUUGCAAACUCUGUAAAAAAAAAAUAUGACAAACAGAAUAAAAAACUAAUAUUAUUUUUUGUGUAUUUGAUGUGAUUCGUGUGUGAAUAAUAUCAAGAUAGAAAAUCGUCAUUGAAGAAACCCUAUCAUUAACGUAUUCUAAUGUAUUUGUAUUCAUAUUUUAUUGUAUAUGCCAGUUUUUAAUUAUUGUUGUGUUGUUUAUUUUGCUACUCAUGUAUGCAACAGUAAAACGAUAAUUACCCUAUAACACAAAACUAACUGUUGUCGCUCUAUAAUUUACAGGUAGACUGACGUGUCCUAAUGGUUGCGGUCGUUCCUACAAGUACAAAAACGGACUUAAACAGCAUUUUUACAAUGAGUGCGGUGUGGCACCUAGGUUUCGCUGUCCUUUUUGUCAUAAGACGAGUACUGUGAAGUCUAACCUAAAGAAACACAUUGCAAUGGUCCAUAAAUGCUUGACCACUUGUCCUGUUCUAGUCACCGACGUGUAAUCCAAUAGCUGUUUCUGUUUUACAAAUAUUAUAUAUUUUGUAUACUAUUUUUUACCAUUACAGUUUUUGAGUAUUUUAUAUUUUGUCCAAUAAAACAAGAAUGUUUCCAUAUACGAUUACACUUAGCUAAAUCCGCUAAAUCAGCGCAUGGUAUAACUUACAUGGGAAAGAAACUCAAUAGUAGUAAUUGUAUGUAAAGUUAUAUAAACGUAAUGCGUAUCAUAAACUUGUUGUGGUACUUUAAUAUUAAGCCAAGCAAGAACAUAACUUGCGGAUAUUCCAGACUUGUUAACACAUUUAGUCAUAAGGUUAUUGUUCCCAGUAGCGGCAUUGCAAUUAUUACUUUUUAGAUUAAAUACGUGUUUUUAGGUUACUACUAUAUGUUUAAUAUACGAUUUGAAUCAUCUAUCGACGUUUUGAAAGAAAACUACUACAAUUUUCGGUGCUGUAUAUAUCAACAGUCGGGAAUGGCAACCGCAACGUCGAAUAACAACAGUCAUGAUAAAUACCAGUAUGACAUCUAAAACGUUUGCAGACUACUGACCAGUCUAACUGUUGUACACUCUAGUGACCUUAAAACAUAUAAUUAGCAUAAAUACAAUAAUCCAUUCAAUAUGUAAACAAUCGGUAUUACUUUAUAAAUCCUUAGUAACGUAUUCCUCGUUGUAGUAUAACCAGGUCUGCACUUACUAUAAUAGUGUUUUCAUAACACAAGUGAUCUAAAAGACUAAAGCAAUUAACACACUUUUCUUUUAAAAUUAUAGCCAUUUUGUAGUUUUUUUUAAAUGAUAACCAUUUUAAUUUUUUGCAGUUUAAUUAUAAAGUUACCAAAUAUACUUUUGGUAUUAUUUUCUAGAGCGCUAUUAUCUCUUGUAACUUUUUAAAUUAAGAAUAGUUUUGCCAAUAACGGUAAUUGAAUAUUUGAGAUUCGUAAUAAGCAGGUCGACUGAUGUGCCCUAACAAUUGCGGUCGUUCGUACAAGUACAAAAAAGGACUUAAACAGCAUUUUGAGUUGCAGGUCGACUGAAGUGCCCUAACGGUUGCGGUCGUUCGUACAAGUAUAAAAACGGACUUAACCAGCAUUUGUACUACGAGUGUGGCGUGGCGCCUAGGUUUAGCUGUCUCCACUGCAGCCAAAUGUUCAAGCACAGCAGCGACAU